UACGUAGGUGACAAGCGUUGUCCGGAUUUACUGGGCGUAAGAGCGCGCAGGCGGUCGUUCAAGUCGAGUGUGAAAGCCCCGGCUCAACUGGGAGGGUCAUUCGAUACUGAUCGACUCGAAGGCAGGAGAGGGUAGUGGAAUUCCCGGUGUAGUGGUGAAAUGCGUAGAUAUCGGGAGGAACACCAGUGGCGAAGGCGACUACCUGGCCUGUUCUUGACGCUGAGGCGCGAAAGCUAGGGAGCAAACGGG
rnacentral:rRNA from 1 species